AUUGAACGCUGGCGGCAUGCCUUACACAUGCAAGUCGAACGGCAGCACGGGAGCAAUCCUGGUGGCGAGUGGCGAACGGGUGAGUAAUAUAUCGGAACGUGCCCAGUAGUGGGGGAUAGCCCGGCGAAAGCCGGAUUAAUACCGCAUACGACCUGUGGGUGAAAGCGGGGGAUCGCAAGACCUCGCGCUAUUGGAGCGGCCGAUAUCAGAUUAGCUAGUUGGUGAGGUAAUGGCUCACCAAGGCGACGAUCCGUAGCUGGUCUGAGAGGACGAUCAGCCACACUGGGACUGAGACACGGCCCAGACUCCUACGGGAGGCAGCAGUGGGGGAAUAUUGCACAAUAGGGCGGAAAGGACCUCGAUAGCAGCAAUAGCCGCG
rnacentral:rRNA from 1 species